GUACUUCCCAGACAUUCUCUACCACAAGACCCCCAUUUCUGAAACCAAUCAGAAGUGGAGAAGGAAAAUGUUCCUGGCAUUUAGGAGACCAAGAGAAGAGACAGAGGGAAGCAGAAAGGAUAGCCAUGGAAAAUUCCAGAGCUUUGCAGUGGGGUAACUCUUGGUGGGAUCCUGGACAACUUCAGGAUGGAGACCGGUCACCAGAAAGACCAAGGUUUCAGUCCCAUCCCCCAUCCUCCAGAGAGACUGAGUUAAUGACGUGUCCUGCCUAUAUGAUGAAGCCUCUGUAAAAAUCCCCAAACAGUGGGGUUUGGAGAGCUUCCAGUUGCAGGUCCUUCUAGUUGUGGGAUGUGGGAUGCCGCCUCAACGUGGCCUGACGAGCGGUGCCAUGUCCGUGCCCAGGAUCCGAACCCUGGGCUGCUGCAGUGGAGCGCGUGAACUUAACCACUCGGCCACGGAGCCGG
rnacentral:lncRNA from 1 species